rnacentral:rRNA from 1 species
GAUGAACGCUGGCGGCGUGCCUAAUACAUGCAAGUCGAGCGAACAGAUGAGGAGCUUGCUCCUCUGACGUUAGCGGCGGACGGGUGAGUAACACGUGGAUAACCUACCUAUAAGACUGGGAUAACUUCGGGAAACCGGAGCUAAUACCGGAUAAUAUAUUGAACCGCAUGGUUCAAUAGUGAAAGACGGUUUUGCUGUCACUUCUAGAUGGAUCCGCGCCGCAUUAGCUAGUUGGUAAGGUAACGGCUUACCAAGGCAACGAUGCGUAGCCGACCUGAGAGGGUGAUCGGCCACACUGGAAGUGAGACACGGUCCAGACUCCUACGGGAGGCAGCAGUAGGGAAUCUUCCGCAAUGGGCGAAAGCCUGACGGAGCAACGCCGCGUGAGUGAUGAAGGUCUUCGGAUCGUAAAACUCUGUUAUUAGGGAAGAACAAAUGUGUAAGUAACUAUGCACGUCUUGACGGUACCUAAUCAGAAAGCCACGGCUAACUACGUG